AUGGCGGUUAGACGGUGUUGGUCUUCACGAUGGUUCUGGCGCCGCCGUGUGCAUCGACGCUUCUGGGCGCCGCUUUGCAGAUCGAUGCUUCUGGUCGUGGUGGUUCUUGCCGAAGUGGUGCCCGCCGCCGGGGCCGUCGAUACCUCGUCGGAGCCCCAACUGCCGGGAUGCAAUUCAUCUCUCAACGCCGGUACAAUCUCCCCUACACGGCCGAGUUGGCGGCGCACGCAUGACAUAUCACCGACUACCAGCGGGAGCCAUCACCGACUACUUGCAGGAGGUGCAUGCGGAGGCCCCGAUAUGGUGGGGUUCAGUGCAGCAAUCUAG
rnacentral:rRNA from 1 species